UACAGAGGUCUCAAGCGUUGUUCGGAUUCAUUGGGCGUAAAGGGUGCGUAGGCGGCGCGGUAAGUCGGGUGUGAAAUCUCGGAGCUUAACUCCGAAACUGCAUUCGAUACUGCCGUGCUUGAGGACCGGAGAGGAGACUGGAAUUUACGGUGUAGCGGUGAAAUGCGUAGAUAUCGGGAGGAACACCAGUGGCGAAGGCGACUACCUGGCCUGUUCUUGACGCUGGGGCGCGAAAGCUAGGGGAGCAAACGGG
rnacentral:rRNA from 1 species